UACGAAGGGGGCUAGCGUUGCUCGGAAUUACUGGGCGUAAAGGGCGCGUAGGCGGCUAUCUAAGUUGGGGGUGAAAUCCCGGGGCUCAACCUCGGAAUUGCCUUCAAAACUGGAUAUCUUGAGUUCGGGAGAGGUGAGUGGAACUCCGAGUGUAGAGGUGAAAUUCGUAGAUAUUCGGAAGAACACCGGUGGCGAAGGCGACUCACUGGCCCGAUACUGACGCUGAGGCGCGAAAGCGUGGGGAGCAAACCGG
rnacentral:rRNA from 1 species